UCCAUACAAAAACCAUCAUAUAUUCAUUCAAAAUUCCAAUUACAUACAUACUUUUAAAUUCAUCUUCCAAUACAUUCAUACAUUCCAACCACACAAGAUCCUUAAUUCUAGUAUAUAACAUCACAAUGCAUAUCUUGAAUCAAGAAAGAAUAAGGAAAAAGAGCUUGGAGCUUGGCAACCCAUCAUUGCAUCUUCCUAGGCAUCCAUUC
rnacentral:lncRNA from 1 species